rnacentral:lncRNA from 1 species
UUCUUUCCGCACUCCUCAGGAAUAACUAGAGCUUAAUAUUCAGCAAUCCAUAUUACCAUGUCUUCUCUUUGUCAAUUUUCGUUUGGUACUGGAAAUACGGGCAUCAAAAUUUACAAACAAUGAAAGAAGGCUUCAGCAAAAAUUCAUCCAAAGAUUAUACUACGAGAGUUCUUAGAAUAAUAACAACGAGAUUUUGCAAUUCUAAGAGAACAAGGUACAAUCGUUCUCAAACAUAUCAUAUGAAUUGUUCCCUACUUCGAUCUACCGUUACAUGUUGUCGCAAUUGACGUAUGUUAGAGGGAUUGUCAAAAGAAUCGACUCAGGUAUAUUAAUGUUAACCAUUCUUUCCUUUUGGCAUGAUCCAUACGAUACAACGAAUCGAGCAAAUAUACAACUUUCAUAAAUUACACUAUUCAUAGAAGUACUAGAGUUGCUUAUGUUCUUGAUUUCCCCAUGUGUCUUAUUAUUCUAUCGUAUGUUCAUGGGUCUCAAAAAAUGCGUAAGUUGAUAAAGUUUGUUUCAUGAUAUUAAUCAGAGGUAAAAUGGUCUUGUGAUAUUCCAAGAGAUUUUAUUGACGUAUUCUCAUGCAUUGCAUUCAUUUAUAGAUGUACAUUGACCCAUGACCAAAUGGUAUUAUACACACGUAUAUUGUAUAUGAAAUAUGGGAAAAGGUUACAACGUUAUAUACUCACCACCACCUGAUCAGUUGAUACACGUUGAUGAUUUGCCCAUAGUGGCUGAGAUGAUAUGAUGGGAUGCCCUUAGUGGCUUGAUGAAGUUAUUAAUGCAUAUACCCAUGUAUGAUACUACAUUUAUACGCAUAUGCAUGACAUUAUAAGUAUUAAAUGAUUCACAAGUAAUUCAGACAUACAUGUUGAGUCUUUUACUCCUCGUUUCUCUUAUGUCUAUUGUUUACUGAUCUUCAUUCCUUACAUACUCGAUAUAUUAUUUGUAUUGAUGUCCCUUUUUCCUAGGGACAAAGCAUUUCAUGCAUGCAGAGCCCGAUAGACAGCUUGAGAUCCCUCCAAGUAGGCUAUUAGUUCAGCGGAUGAUGUUGGUGCGCUCCAUUUGCUCCGGAGUUGCUUAUUUGGUUAGUAUGAUUUAGACAUGUAUUGAUUGGGAUGUUGGGGCCCUGUCCCGGCCGUAUGACGUUUAUGUACCCUUAGAGGCUUG